AUUGAACGCUGGCGGAAUGCUUUACACAUGCAAGUCGAACGGCAGCACGGACUUCGGUCUGGUGGCGAGUGGCGAACGGGUGAGUAAUGUAUCGGAACGUGCCCAGUCGUGGGGGAUAACGUAGUGAAAAUUACGCUAAUACCGCAUACGAUCUAUGGAUGAAAGCGGGGGAUCGCAAGACCUCGCGCGAUUGGAGCGGCCGAUAUCAGAUUAGGUAGUUGGUGGGGUAAAGGCCCACCAAGCAGACGAGCUGUAGCUGGUCUGAGAGGACGAUCAGGAAAACUGGAACUGAGACACGGUGCAGACUCCUACGGGAGGCAGGAGUAGGGAAUUUUGGACAAUGGGCGAAAGCCUGAUCCAGCCAUUCCGCGUGCAGGAUGAGGGCACUCGGGUUGUAAACUGCUUUUGUACAGAACGAAAAGGUUUCUACUAAUACUAGGAGCUCAUGACGGUACUGUAAGAAUAAGCACCGGCUAACUACGUGCCAGCCGCCGCCGUAA
rnacentral:rRNA from 1 species